UACGGGGGGGGCAAGCGUUGUUCGGAAUUACUGGGCGUAAAGGGCUCGUAGGCGGCCAACUAAGUCAGACGUGAAAUCCCUCGCGUCUAACCUGGGGAACUGCGUCUGAUACUGGAUGGCUUGGAUCCGGAAGAGGGAUGCGGAAUUCCAGGUGUAGCGGUGAAAUGCGUAGAUAUCUGGAGGAACACCGGUGGCGAAGGCGGCAUCCUGGGCCGGUAUUGACGCUGAGGAGCGAAAGCCAGGGGAGCAAACGGG
rnacentral:rRNA from 1 species